rnacentral:rRNA from 1 species
UAAAUGACUCUCGGCAACGGAUAUCUCGGCUCUCGCAUCGAUGAAGAACGCAGCGAAUUGUGAUACUUGGUGUGAAUUGCAGGAUCCCGCGAACCAUCGAGUCUUUGAACGCAAGUUGCGCCCAAAGCCUUUUGGCAGAGGGCACGUCUGCCUGGGUGUCACUC